UUGGCACGCCAAUGUGUUCACAGAAAACCGAUUAGACAAUCGAUCCUUUCGGAAUUCCAACUGUACGUCUAGCCACACUAAAUCAAACGACGUCUUUUUUGACUUAAUGUUGAUCUGACUUUGUGAGUUUACAAAAUCAUACUCUUAAUCCGGAGAAAUAAUAAGUACUGGAAUUUAGGAGUUAAAUUGCUCGGGUUCGUAACUCACAGGUUUUGACGAGGCUAAUUCUGACCUAAAGUUGAAAAUGGAUUUAGUUAACUAAGGUUUGGGGCAUAUUGGAGUUGGAUAAAUUAAAUAAGGUAAAAAUGGGUGAAACAGAUGGGUGGCGUGAUUAAGUAUGGGGGCUGGAUUUUGGUAGUGUAUUAAAGUGGGAUGGUUAGCUACUGGAAAUGAAAAGGAAGUUUGAAAACGAAAUUGUAAAUGGUUUAAGUGGUAACAAGCUGGAAAUUAAUGAAUUGAAAGAAAAAGGAAACUAAGAACAACAAAUAAUUUCGUGAGUAGAAAGGAGGAAUUGCAUUUAAAGAUGAAAGCUUGAUUUAUCACUUGAUGAAUAAAUGAACAAUGUAGCCUCCUAUUUAUACUAGUGGCCUUGCUAAAUUAAGAGCCACUAAUCAUAGAAAAUCAAGGGAAUAAAAUAUUAAAAAUCCCUACAUAAUCUCCCACUAAGUCAACAAAAAUUUCAGCUAAUUAUAUCUUGGAAAAAUUCUGCUUUGGCCCUCCUUCUUUGCUUCUUUCUUCAAUCUAGCCCAAUUGUUUCCUUUUUCUUCUAUUUAGCCCCAAAUUGCAUCCCUGUAUAAAAUUCAACAUAAACAUGGAAAAAUUAGUGGUGCACUCUCAUAAAUUAACCAAUUUAAUUACAUAAAAUAUGUAAUUUUAGCAUUUAAUCGAAUCCCCCUACUUAGUUCAUGCUAGUCCUCGAGCAUUAUGCAUAUAUCUGCAAAAGGAAAAAUUUCCUCCAAAAUAGGACUUGACCCUCAUGGUUUGCACAAUUCAACAAUUUAAUCCUAGCACAUUAACAUCUCACAUAACCUAGCCUAAGAAGUAAGUAAAUAUAUUUCAGAAUUUAUUAGAGCUUGAUAGACUUACCUUUCAUUUUAUUAUUUUUGUACUUAGGACAUUUUCGAAUUUUUUGACGCGAGACAUGAUGACAACCCAAGCACCAUAUUCCGGUUACUCAAUUCGGACGUUUUUAAGCGGGUUAUUUCGCCCUACCCAUGAUAACUUGUUAGCGGAGUGAGUGCAAAGAAAUUGGACAGCCACACGAACCUUUUUACGCGAGAUGUGAUGACAACCCAAGCACUACGUUCCAGUUACUCAGCCGAUGUACAACCCCAAUUUUUCACCCUUAACAUUCGUAUCAGAAGAGUAUUAUUAUUUAUUUUUAUUAUUUUAUUAUUUUAUUAUUUUAUAUUUAUUUUUUUGCAUUCAAAAAUUUGACAUGUGAUAAAAUGUAGACAGUCAAGCAAACUCAUAAUUCCCAAAAAUUUCUUACCCACUAAAUCUAGGUUAUUGAAGAGUUUUAUGUGUAAAGAACUAAAUAGCUAAAUAGGUUAAACCAUAAGUGUACCAUCCCAACUUAUCAACAGAAAAAUUUUACCUUUUACCGAAAACAUGCAAAAAUAGCGAUGACAGAUAAGCAAAAUAGAACUGAUAUUUAUAUUCCUCUCCCCCUACUUAUUGUACAUUGUCCCAAUGUAAUUAUAUUAAGGAUAAAAAGUAAAAGUAAGUAGGUAAAAGAAGAAAAAUGAACUCUCCAUGUAUUUCAACGUCGUGGAGGGUGGUCUCGUAGGUGUGUGAGAACGUCUGUCACUAAGGUACGUAAAGAGUUGAGUCCUUCCUUGAUUCGGGUUAACCGAGAUUCGAUGAAAGUUGGAGGCUCCGGUCCGUGCUGGUUUCUUCGUCGGAACACUCUAUGCAACCGAUCCGUUCUUGUACUUAGAUGAACAAAAUAAAAAGAAGAAGGGGUACCGCCAAGUAACCCCAUAGAAUCCAAGCAGUACGUAUCUAAAGAGUCCAUUUUGUAUUCCAAAUUCAAAGAACUAAAAUUGAUAGCUGAUGGAUUCAAAUUGGAGGCUAAACGUAUGAUGUAGGUACCCAAAACUAGUGGCCGAUUCGACCGCAAAACAUGCUGAAACUGAAUAGCAAACCAAUAGCCUAAAUUCACCUUCCUACCCGAAUGCAUGUACCAUAGAAAAAAUAAUUCAGUUCUAGUUAAAGAGGCAGACGCAUCAUUACGUCCGAAAAAAUUAAAAGUAAGGAAUCGAUGUAUGUAUCGAAGUGUAGGACUAUGAAUUCCUAUGUCCUUGCAACGUUUUGGAUUGUACGAAAUCUAUCUCAUUUCAGUUAACAAUGCUAAAGCUUCAUUAGCAUCAAAGUCAGAUGGUAUGUCGAGAAAUGAGUUUUAAUAGUCAUCAAUUGCUAAAUAGUCGUCAGUAACGAAUCCCAAAGCAACAUUAAUUAAACUCAGAAAUAGACAGAUUAUAAUGCACACCUAGCAAGCAAAAAUUGACAGCAUGAGGCAUAUCUAUGGUGUUAGCAGAACGGUCAAAGUAAAAUGUAGAAUAAAAUUCAAAAACCAACUCAUAAUAUGCAGGUUCAUCAAUAGCAGCAAAAUAUGUCCACCCAAUAGCAUCAAAAUAUUGAUUAACAGAUUCUUCAAUAUCUAAAGAAUAUAAUGAGAAUAAGUCGACGUGCUUACAUAUUGGAAGAGGGCGAUGUUGGAUUUGUUCGAAUUGUGCUUGAUGUGCCGGGUUCGUGAACGUUAGAUUCCCGUGAAAUCUUUUCUCCGAGGGCAUUGAUCCUCUUCCUUGUCGAAUUUAACCUCGCUCACGUGGGUGAUACUCAGUGUCCUGAUUUUCCGUUUCAUUUUUACAAUAUUCGGCAUUGUCUGCUGACGAAGUUGAUGAACCGGUUAAAGGUAGCUGUUGGCGACCUCGGGUUCGUCUUUGCGUUGAAUGUGAUUCAGUACCAUCGUUCGGGGGUCACGGAAUUCUUAUCGAAGGCCCCGGUUGUGUUGGUUGAUGUACAUGGAUGUUUGGUCGGGGGGAUGGAUGGUCUUGGCUGUCGAAUGAGUUUGGUGGUUCGAUCGAGCUGUUUGGAGGAUGGUCGGCCGAAUUGGGUAGCUCAUGGGGCGGGUAGACUACGGCGAUCGAAGUUGGGCUGCGGUUUCUUCUAGGACAACGCGGUUGCGGCGGCGGAGAUAGAGGAGACUCGUCGGAGUCGAUGGUAACGAAAGGUAGGGCGGUGAAAUGGUUUUGUCGUCGGUUUAUUAUGGAAGGUGGUUCAUGCGCCGUGUGGUCGCGAGUGCGGACCAUGGUUUGGUGGUGGACGGUGGUGAGUGGUGGUAAAAAGGGAAGGGGUUUAUGAAGAGAAAAAGAAAUUUUGAAGAAAGGUUUUAGUGAGAAACAUUCGGCUGGUCAAAUGGGGGGUAAUUGGGGAUUUGAUUGGUGAAAGUGUUUUACUUGUUUGAGGAGAGUGGUAGUGGAGUUUUAAUUUCCUAGGUGAAAAAGUAUGAUUUGAUGGGUGAAAGGGUUUUUUCUUAAUUUGAAAAGAAAUGGACGGUUGGGAAGAGAGGGAAGGGUUAAAAUGGGGGAGUGGGAUUGUAGUUUUCUAGGUGAAAAGUUGGAUGUGAUAGGUGAAAUAUUAGGAUUUGAUAGGUGAAAGGUUGAUGGGUAUAUGGUUUUUUUUAAUAUUUGAAAAGGGGUGGACGGUUGGGGGUAAAAAUUUGGGUUUUUGAUUUUUGAUUUUUUUAUUGGGAAGGGUGGUUCCCUUUUUUGGGGGGGAGGUUUAUUUUUUUUAGGUUUGAAUUUGGGUAGGUAUGAUAGGUUUGGCUUUUGGUUAAAUGGGUUAGCUUUGGUAUUAGAUUGGUGAGUCACUAUAGACAUUCUUAAGUACCAAGUCUUUCCUUAGACAGAACUGAUCCUUGACAUGCAUUUUCAUUUUCCGUUUUACCAAAAAAAUUAUUUGUAUAAAGGGAAAAUUUUGGGUUGCCUCCCAACAGUGCUUUGUUUAACGUCGUUAGCUCGACGACCUGUUAUUCAAAUUCUGGGCUCCUCGAGAACAAUCUCAUCAACUGUGUGCGUUUGAAAAUUCUCAUAGAAGGGUUUCCGUCGUUGACCAUUCACCUUAAAGCACUUCCGGGUUUCUUCGAUUUGAAUUUCCACUGCACCAUUUGAGAAUAAAUUAGUAAUAGUAAAUGGACCUAUCCAUUUGGAUCGAAGCUUACCAGCGAAAGUUUUUAAGGUAGAGUCAUAUAGGAGAACUUUUUGUCCUAUUGAAAACUGCUUACUAGUGAUCAUCUUAUUGUGGAACGCCUUCGUCUUUUCUUUAUAAAUUCGAGCAUUUUCAUAUGCAUUGUUUCUAAUUUCCUCGAGUUCCUGAAUGUCCAACUUUCGAGCCCUUCCUGCAGUCUCCAUCUCCAUAUUACAUUGUUUAACUGCCCAAAAUGCCUUGUGCUCUAAUUCGACCGGGAGAUGGUACGAUUUACCAAAAAAGAGUCGAUAAGGUGACAUGCCUAUUGGUCUCUUGUAAGCUGUCCUAUAAGCCCAAAGUGCGUCAUUUAGUCUCAAGCUCCAAUCCUUUCUGUUAGGUUUAACAGUCUUCUCCAAGAUGGACUUGAUUUCUUGAUUUGACACUUCAGUUUGCCCGAUUGUUUGUGGAUGGUAAGUAGUGGCAAUUUGUUGAGUCACUCCAUAUUUCUCCAUAAGUGCACUUACGAGCUUAUUGCAGAAAUGAGUUCCUCUGUCACUGAUUAAUGCUCGUGGGGUCUAUACCUGGAAAAGAUAGAACUUUUAAGAAAGUCAACCAUAGUCUUAGCAUUAUCAUUGCAAGUAGCCUUUGCCUCUAUCCACUUAGAAACGUAAUCAACUGCUAAGAGUAUAUAAAAAUUACCAAAAGAAGAAACGAAAGCACCCAUAAAAUCGAUACCCCACACAUCAAAAAUUUUGCAAAUAUGAAUAGCAGUAAGGGGCAUCUCAUUUAGACGACUAAGAUUGCCAACUUUUUGGCAUCUUUCACAGGUUUUGCAGAAUAAAAAGGCAUCACGAAAUAUGUUUGGCCAAAAUAGUCCACAUUCAAGAAUUUUAUGUGUAGUGCAUUUUGGUCCAAAGUGUCCUCCACAUACAUAAGAAUUACAAAAAGUUAAGAUAGACUGUACCUCUGUUUCUGCUACACACCGUCGAAUUACCUGAUCGGAGCAAUGCUUCCAAAGGUAAGGAUCGUCCAAAAUGUAGUACCGUGCAUCCUUUUUAAUCUUUUCUUUCUUGGACCUUGGUAAUUCCGAAGGAACAGUACCUGUAACAAGAUAAUUUACUAUGUCUGCGUACCAAGGAUGAACCGCAUUUGCUGAAAAUAGGUUUUCAUCAGGGAAGUUGUCUUUUAAUGGUGUGUCGUCUACUAGAAUCGGUAAUCGACUCAGAUGGUCAGCUACUAAGUUUUCGCAUCCCUUUUUAUCCCGAAUUUCAAAAUCGAACUCUUGUAGGAGCAGAAUCCACCUAAUCAGUCGAGGUUUUGCCUCAUUCUUCCAUAUUAAAUAUUUCAAAGCUGCAUGAUCAGAAAAGAUAAUCACUUUAUUUCCCAAUAGGUAAGAUUUAAAUUUGUCUAAAGCAAACACAAUAACUAAUAAUUCUUUCUCAGUUGUUGUGUAAUUACUUUGGGUAGCAUCUAGUUUCUUCGAAGCAUAGUAGAUAACAUGAGGCUCUUUCCCUGUUCUUUGGCCAAGAACGGCUCCCACACUUCGAUCACUUGCAUCACACAUGAUUUCGAACGGGAAGUUCCAAUUUGGUGGUUGCACUAUGGGAGCGGAAACCAAUUUCUGCUUUAAUAAGUCAAAUGCGUCUUUACAAGUUUGGUUAAAUUCAAAUUCUUUAUCCUUUUGUAAUAUACUGCAAAGCGGUUGCUCGAUCUUCGAGAAGUCUUUUAUGAAUCGUCUAUAAAAUCCCGCAUUACUAAGAAAUGAACGUACUCCCCUCACAGAUGUGGGGUAAGGUAAUGAGUCAAUAAUAUCUGUUUUUGCUUUAUCGACCUCAAUACCUUCUGAGGAAACUAUAAGACCCAAAAUUAAUCCUUUGUCAACCAUGAAGUGGCAUUUUUCAUAAUUUAAAACAAGAUUAAGUUCUAGGCAUCUUUGUAAUAUCUUAGCAAGAUUAUCGAGACAUCCGUUAAAAGAGUUACCAUACACCGUGAAGUUAUCCAUGAAGACUUCAAUGAUUUUCUCGACAUAAUCGAAGAAUAUGCUCACCAUACAUCUCUGGAAAGUGGCCGGAGCAUUACAGAGUCCAAACGGCAUUUGUCUAUACGCAAACGUUCCAAAGGGGUACGUGAAAGUUGUUUUGUCUUGAUCCUCAAGUGCCACCGGAAUUUGGAAAAAUCCUGAGUACCCAUCGAGACAACAAUAAUGGGUCUUACCCGCUAAUCGCUUUUAGUAUUUGAUCGAUGAAGGGGAGUGGAAAAUGGUCUUUCUGGUAGCCGCAUUCAACUUCCUGUAAUCGAUGUAAACCCUCCAUCCAUUCUAGACUCGGGUAGGGACUAGCUCUCCUGAUGAGUUUUUCACCACUGUCACACCAGUUUUCUUAGGCACGACAUGAACCGGGCUAACCCAAACACUGCCGGAGAUCGGGUAUAUCAUUCCAGCAUCCAACAGUUUUUGGAUCUCCUUCUUUACUACCUCCAUCAUGGGUGGAUUAAGGCGUCUUUGAGCAUCUCUCUUUAGUUUCGUGUUAUCUUCGAUGGAAAUUCUAUACAUACAGGUGGAUGGACUUGGCCCUUUUAUAUCGGCUACUGUCCAACCAAUAGCCUCCUUAUAAUCCCUCAGAACUCGAACUAGACUUUCCUCCUCGUCUUUGGUUAGUUUGUUUGACACUAUCACCGGUAAGGUGUCUUUCUCUCCCAAAAAGACGUACUUGAGGUGGUCCGGUAAUGCUUUAAGCUCCAAGGUUGGCAGCUGCAAAACCGAAGGUAACAUUUUAUUUCGGGAAGGUAAUUGUUCAAUUUGGUUACCUCGAUUCGUCAACGAUGGUUGCAUCUCCAACUGUUUGACAAUUUCUCGCAACGGAUCUCCUAUAAUUGAUAAUUCCUCGAGACGACUUAAAACAUCCAUGUCAAUGUUUCUAUAAAGGACAGUUUCUAACUCAUCAAAGUCAUGAUAUUCGAGAUAAGAUUGAGUUAAACAAUCUAUAUUAUCGAUACUAGAAAUAUUAAAUUGUGAGUUAGGAUGACUCAUAGCUUCGUAUACAUUGAAUUUCACGAUUUCGUCAUCAAACUCCAUUGUCAGUGUUCCGCUCCGAACAUCAAUUUUUGCGCUUGCGGUACUUAGAAACGACCUUCCAAGAAAAAUGUCAGACGAAUUAGUUGAGUUAUCAUCCUCUAUAUUAAUAAUGUAGAAAACUGCAGGGAAAACUAAUUCGUUAAGUUUAACCCGGACGUCUUCAAGCAACCCUUCGGGAUAGAUGACUGACCUGUUCGCCAACUGGAUUAUUACUUCUGUCUUUUUCAAAGGACCCGCGUUAAUCAACUUAUAAAUAGGAUAAAGCAUAACAUUAAUGGAAGCCCCUAAAUCACACAUGGCUUUCCUAAUGCCUACAUUACCUAUCGUACAGGAAAUAGCAAACAUACAUUGGUCCUUGUAUUUGGGCGGAACUUUCUUUUGUAGUACUGCAGAGACAUUUUCUCCUACAUUUACUCUUUUGUUACUUAUUAACCUCCUCUUGCUAGUACACAAUUCCUUGAGGAAUUUUGCAUAACGAGGGAUUUGUUUGAUAGCGUCGAGCAAAGGGAUAUUUACCUCCACCUUAUUGAAUGUUUUGAGGAUUUAUUUUUCCUCCUUCUCUUUCUUAUCCUUCGUGAGCCUCCCUAGAAAAGGAGGUGGCAUCACAACUGGUUUCUAAAUUUCUGAUUCUGGUCUGGCUUUCGGAUCAGAGAUCUACUUUUCCCGUUCAUUGUCUUGCCCAUGACUUUUGUCUGGAACUAUUUCCAAAACUUUUCCGCUACAAAGAGUUAUUGCACUUGCAUUCUACCGAGGAUUCGGCUCUGUCUGGGAAGGUAAUUUACCUUGAGAAUCCAAACGAUUAACCACCAUCGAGAGUUUACUAACUUGAUUAGUUAACUCUUGUAUUGAUGCGUCUGUUCUUUGUUGGUAUUUUGCAGCAUCGACGGUAAAUCUCUCCAUAAUAGCUUCUAGAGAUGUACUCGGCUUGGGUGGCAGUUACGGUGGUUGCAGAGGUCUCGGUUGGUAUGAUGAAUUAUAUCAGGGAUUAGUUCUGUAAUUCAAGUUGAGAUGAUCCUUCCACCCUAGAUUGUAUGUGUUGGAGAAAGGAUCAUAGCGUCUUUGCGGAGGUCCCGGAAAGCCUCCGACAGCGUCAACAUGUGCCAUUGAAUUUUCAUUAAGGAUUGGGCACAAAUCCGUCGGAUGUUCAGAUGUAGUACAAAUUUCACACAGUUGGGUCAGAUUCUUCUUUUCUGUAAGCAUAGAUUGAACAAUAUUAGUGAGCUUAUCCAAUUUAUCUUCUAAGGAUGAAACGUUUACCCCAUUAACCCGUUUUGUGGGUUCUGAAUUUGGCUGAUACUGUUGAGAAUUUGUCGCCAUGGUGGAUAUCAGUUCUCUUUCCCUUUGUGGAGUCUUACUGACAAGCGCCCCUCCACUAGCAGUUCCAAUCAUGUUCAUUUCCAUAGGGAGCAGACCCUCGUAGAAAUACUAAAGAAGUGAUUGUUUGGUCAAACCGUGUUGAGGACAACUUGCACACAGUUUUUGUAUCGCUCCCAAUAGUCAUAGAGCGAUUCACUCUCCAUUUGGCUAAUUCCCACUAUGUCUCUCCUAAGUUCACCUGCUCCCGAUGCUGGGAAAAAUUUGUCAAGAAAAACAUGAGAUAAGUCAUCCCACAUUGUAAUAGAACUGAAGGGUAAGUAAAAAAAUCAUUCACUUGCUGUACCAACUAAAGAAAAUAGAAAUGCCCGAAGUUUAAUUUCAUCUUCGGUUACUCCCUGAGGUUUCAUGCUUGAGCAGACCAUGUCGAAUUCUCUCAAGUGAGUGUGUGGAUUUUUAUUCUUCAAGCCUCGAAAAGGGGUCAAAAGGUGGAUCAGGCCUGACUUCAACUCGAACGGGGUUUCUCCGGCUAGAUAGUUGAUGCAUAACGGUGUUUGCUCGUUGGGAGCAGCGACUAGUUGAUGAAUGGUUCGGUUUUCCAUCCUUUCUAGUUCACCAACUUUUGCUUCUUUCGUUUCAAAAAGUGCUUCGGUCUCAAGUUUAACAACUUCGACUUGUUUCCCACGUUGAAUUGCCUCUGCAAGAAUUGCUUAGCUCAACCUUUCGACGUCGGAUUCUAGGAUCCCUUGUCCUAGCUCAACUUCUGUUUUACUUGCAAGUUUAAGAGCUUUUGUCUCUUUUCGUUGUGCUCGUGCUGAUUUCUUGAUCUCUAGGUUGUAUUCGAGAUCUCCGGAUGAAGAUCUGGUCAUGAAGAUGAUUUAAACAAUUAUAAGUGUUGCCAGUCCCCGACAACAGCGCUAAAACUGAUGGGUGUUGAAUCCACCAAUAUAAACCUAUGCCAAAUUUGCAAUUUAAGCAGUAUAGGGAGUAGGGUCGAUCCCUCAGAGACUGGGUUUACUGCAAAUUGUUUCUCUCUUGACCAGAUUUGUGUCUGGGAAGUUAUCGUACCCAAGAAAUUUAGGGGGAGGAUAAAAUUGAAAACCUGGAAGCUGAAAUAAACAGGGAAAAAAUGAGUGAAAAGUAAAGGCUGAAAAUAAAAUAAUAAAAACAGUUAAAUAAAUCUGAAGAAAAAUUAAUUAAACUAAGCUCAGCUUUAAGCACAGAUUUUUCCUCGUCUUUGAAUCGAUCCUCGAAAUUAAAUAACUCUUUUUUUCCAAUAAGCUAGUUAUAGCUUCCAAGGAUGCCUCACACACCAACUCUUCUUUGUGUAAAUUAGUUAUGUAACGUCUUAUAACUAACCCUUACCGAUCGAACAACCAACAAAACGUUCGUGAUUUAGAACUCCAGCAGCUUUGCGUUCUAGAAGAGCCUAGCUCGAAACAAGGUCCUCAACCGCGUGGGACAUUUAAAUCCAGUUACUAGUUCCCUUAACGGACCCAAACAACAAUCUCCACUUGGCACGUCAAUGUGUUCACAGAAAACCGAUUAGACAACCGGUCCUUUCAGAAUUCCAACUGUACGUCUAACCAAACUAAAUCAAACGACGUCUUUUUUGACUUAAUGCUGAUCUGACUUUGUGAGUUUACAAAAUCAUACCCUUAAUCCGGAGAAAUAAUAAGUACUGGAAUUUAGGAGUUAAAUUGCUCGGGUUCGUAACUCACAGGUUUUGAUAAGGCUAAUUUCGACCUAAAGCUGAAAAUAGAUUUAGUUAACUAAGGUUUUGGACAUAUUGGAGUUGGAUAAAUUAAAUAAGGUAAAAAUGGGUGAAACGAAUGGGUGGCGUGAUUAAGUAUGGAGGCUGGAUUUUGGUAGUGUAUUAAAGUGGGAUGGUUAGCUACUGGAAAUGAAAAUGAAGUUUGAAAAAGAAAUUGUAAAUGGUUUAAGUGGUAACAAG
rnacentral:lncRNA from 1 species